AUCUUCAGUCUCUCUCUGGUCGCUCUCUACGCAGUUGGUUGUGAACGCCUAGUCCUCAGGCGUUUCAUGAUCUACAACACUAACAAGGGAACCACGUGUUUUUAGUUUUCUCCUUUAAGUGCUUUAUGUUUAUGUGGUAAUCUUUAGUCUCAUUUUGGUAGUCACUCGGCCAAACGGAACGAUCGUUUUCUUUGGUUCUUCUGUGUUGAGCACAUGGUCGGACAAGAAGACAAGUCUGCAAUGGAGGGAAAUGACCUGGCUGCAACAUGUGACCUGAAUAUGUUUAGUCUCCACGUUGAUUUUACGCUGAAGACUGAGCAUCCAGGGAAUUCCUGGAGAAACAAGCCUGGAGGUGGCUGAAUAAAGAUCACAUUGACUAAAGAUGGAUGCAGCUGCCACCGCAGCCUCUUAUCACUGAAGGAAGACAUUCAGUCCUCCUGAAUACUGGAUACUACAAUCGUUGGUCAUCCAACCUUGAGUGUGGGGUGUUCAACUAGCUGGCCUAGAUGGAGACUACUCUCUAGGUCACCCACACUGGAAGAAAGCCUUCAGCGACGGCUCCACAGCUGUAGGCACCAACUCCCCCAUAAGGAUGGGAUUCAUUCUUCAAGGUAUGACUGCGGCAGCCCAAGCUGGAUGACAUUCUGACUCAACAAAUGAAUCAGGUGCUGGAGCUUGUGAGCUGGGACUGCUACAAGCUUAACCCGAGCAUCAGGAAAUGAAGCAUCAGGAAAUGAAGCCUCAACUGUCAUUUGCAUUGCUAAUCAGCCUCUGAAAACAGGCUCCUGUUUCCUGACUUGUUUGUAUGAACCUGUCCUCAACAGUGUUGAAUUAUUUAACCAUUGACAUGCAGAUGUAUUUAAAGAUUUAAAAUAAAUGGUUGACAUCACAAGGA